rnacentral:rRNA from 1 species
UACGAAGGGGGCUAGCGUUGCUCGGAAUCACUGGGCGUAAAGCGCGCGUAGGCGGACUCUUAAGUCGGUGGUGAAAUCCUGGAGCUCAACUCCAGAACUGCCUUCGAUACUGGGAGUCUCGAGUCCGGGAGAGGUGAGUGGAACUGCGAGUGUAGAGGUGAAAUUCGUAGAUAUUCGCAAGAACACCAGUGGCGAAGGCGGCUCACUGGCCCGGUACUGACGCUGAGGUGCGAAAGCUAGGGGAGCAAACGGG